UACGUAGGGUGCAAGCGUUUAAUCGGAAUUACUGGGCGUAAAGCGUGCGCAGGCGGUUGUGCAAGAACAGAUGUGAAAUCCCCCGGGCUUUAACCUGGGAAUUGCAUUUGUGACUGCACGGCUAGAGUGUGUCAGAGGGGGGUAGAAUUCCACGUGUAGCAGUGAAAUGCGUAGAUAAUGUGGAGGAAUACCGAUGGCGAAGGCAGCCCCCCUGGGAUAACACUGACGGCUCAUGCACGAAAAGCCGUGGGGGAGCAAACAAGGG
rnacentral:rRNA from 1 species